UACAGAGGGGGCAAGCGUUGUUCGGAAUUACUGGGCGUAACGGGCGCGUAGGCGGCCUGCUAAGUCGAACGUGAAAUCCCUGGGCUUAACCCAGGAACUGCGUCCGAUACUGGCAGGCUUGAAUCCGGGAGAGGGAUGCGGAAUUCCAGGUGUAGCGGUGAAAUGCGUAGAUAUCUGGAGGAACACCGGUGGCGAAGGCGGCAUCCUGGACCGGCAUUGACGCUGAGGCGCGAAAGCCAGGGGAGCAAACGGG
rnacentral:rRNA from 1 species